AUGCCCUACGGGAGGCAGCAGUGGGGAAUAUUGGACAAUGGGGGGAACCCUGAUCCAGCGACGCCGCGUGAGUGAAGAAGUAUUUCGGUAUGUAAAGCUCUAUCAGCAGGGAAGAAAGAAAUGACGGUACCUGACUAAGAAGCCCCGGCUAACUACGCGCCAGCAGCCGCGGUAAUACGUAGGGGGCAAGCGUUAUCCGGAUUUACUGGGCGUAAAGGGAGCGUAGACGGCGAUGCAUGUCUGAA
rnacentral:rRNA from 1 species